CUUCCUCGUAAAUUUUUUUCUCCUGAAUAGCUUGUAUCUUUCUGCCAUCAGUCUUAAGAUGUUUAAUCUAUAAAUUGAAUUAAAAGUUUAGGCAAAAAAGAUUUAACUUUAAAUUAGACUUUAAAUCUAAAUAACCUGUACCAGCAGAGCUCUGUCAAUAAAGGCCUGUCACGAGUGACGUUUCCUGACCAUUUUCAAGGACCUCGUUCGAUGUAGUGCGAAAAAUGAUGGACGACAUCGAGCGAUACAGUGGAAUUUCUUGUAUCCAAACAGGUUGAUGGUUGAUGAUCAUCAGAAAUAGUGACAGGCUUUACUAUUUCUCUGAAAAAAAGGACGAGGUUUCUGCGGAAAAUGUGACAAAAAACAGUCACAUUGAUAUAAGCGCAUUCAACGCUCAUAUCAAUCACCUCAUUUCGAACAAGCGGCGAUAGAUGCCGGAAUUCGGCAAAAGUGAGCGAAGAGCAUGAAAGAGAAUCGACUCUUCUACCGGGAAAAGAAAUCCGGAAGAGUGUCCCACUGAGGAGAAAACUUCAACUCCGGAUGUCUGCACUCAUCGAUUCCGAGCGAAACUUUUCGUAGUACUGAACAACACAAUGGACAAACCUAUAACUUGUGUCAUCCGGUAGAGAAUAAUAGCGUGCCAAUUUUUUCGGCAUUCAGUGGUGAAUUCAUAGUGGAUGAAUAUUACAUUACAAGCAU